GGAUAAGGAAAGUAAAGAAGGGCGCAUGGCGGAUGCCUUGGCUCUCGGAGGCGAUGAAGGACGUGAUAAGCUGCGAUAAGCUUUGGGGAGGUGCAAAUGACCUUUGAUCCAGAGAUUUCCGAAUGGGACAACCCAAUAUCUUGAAGAGGUAUUAUCCAACGUUGUUGGAGGCUAACGCAGGGAACUGAAACAUCUUAGUACCUGCAGGAAAAGAAAAUAAACAAUGAUUCCCCCAGUAGUGGCGAGCGAACGGGGAUCAGCCCAAACCAUCCAUGUUACGGCAUGGGCGGGGUUGUAGGACUACGCCGUUGCAUGAAGACAUCAGAGAAGAACUUUCUGGAAAGAAAGACCAUAGAGCAUGACAGUUGCGUAUUCGAAUGUUGUCGAAGCAUAGUAGUAUCCUGAGUAGCGCGGAGCACGAGGAAUUCUGCGUGAAUCUGCCGGGACCAUCCGGUAAGGCUAAAUACUCCCGAGAGACCGAUAGCGAACCAGUACCGUGAGGGAAAGGUGAAAAGCACUUCGAACAGAAGAGUGAAAUAGUUCCUGAAACCGUGCGCCUACAAGCGGUCGGAGCUCGUUAAUGAGUGACGGCGUGCCUUUUGCAUAAUGAACCUACGAGUUGCCUUUGCCGGCAAGGUUAAGUGUGACGACACACGUAUCCGAAGCGAAAGCGAGUCUGAACAGGGCGUAUAGUCGGCAGUGGCAGACGCGAAACCAAGUGAUCUACCCUUGGCCAGGUUGAAGGCUGGGUAACACCAGCUGGAGGACCGCACCAAUAAGCGUUGAAAAGCUUCUGGAUGAGCUGAGGGUAGGGGUGAAAGGCUAAUCAAACUUGGAGAUAGCUCGUACUCCCCGAAAUGCAUUUAGGUGCAGCCUUGCGGGUUACUGAUGUGAGGUAGAGCGACUGAUAAGAUGCGAGGGCUUCACCGCCUAUCAAGUCUUGACAAACUCCGAAUGCGCAUCAGUUCUACCGCAGGAGUGAGGGCAUGGGUGCUAAGGUCCGUGCCCGAGAGGAGAAGAAUCCGGACCACCUGCUAAGGUCCCGAAAUGACAGCUAAGUUAAACUAACGAAGUCUGACUGCUAAGACAGCUAGGAUGUUGGCUUGGAAGCAGCCAUUCAUUUAAAGAGUGCGUAACAGCUCACUAGUCGAGGAGUCGGGCGUGGAUAAUAAUCGGGUAUCAAGUUGUCUACCGAAGCAGUGGGAUCAUUUAUAUGAUCGGUAGGGGAGCAUUCCAGUCGGCGUCGAAGGCGUACCGUGAGGUAUUCUGGAGCGUCUGGAAAAGCAAAUGUAGGUAUAAGUAACGAUAAAGGGGGCGGGAAACCCCCUCGCCGAAAGACUAAGGUUUCCUGAUCAACGCUAAUCGGAUCAGGGUCAGUCGGGUCCUAAGGCUCAGCCGAACGGCGAUGCCGAUGGCAGAAACGGUUAAUAUUCCGUUACUACCUUCAGGAGUGACGUGGAGACGCAGUAGUGACAGUGCCGCCAUCUGACGGAAUAGAUGGUUGAAGGGUGUAGGAGUCGAUCAUGGCAGGCAAAUCCACCAUGAGAUCCGAACCUGACAGUAUGCCGCGUCCUUCGGGACAAGGCAAUAGUGCGCGUAAGCAUGCUGCCGAGAAAAUCCGCUAAACUUAAUCCUGCAGGUACCCGUACCGCAAACGGACACACGUAGUCGGGAUGAAUAUUCUAAGGCGCUUGAGUGAUUCACGGUUAAGGAACUAGGCAAACUGACCCUGUAACUUCGGGAUAAAGGGUCCCUACCCUUUUAUGGGAGGGCGCAGAGAAUCGGUCCAGGCAACUGUUUAACAAAAACACAGGGCUGUGCCAAAUCGAAAGAUCCAGUAUACAGCCUGACACCUGCCCGGUGCUGGAAGGUUAAGAGGAGAUGUCAUCGAUAAGAGAAGCGUUGAAUUGAAGCCCCAGUAAACGGCGGCCGUAACUAUAACGGUCCUAAGGUAGCGAAAUUCCUUGUCGGGUAAGUUCCGACCUGCACGAAUGGUGUAAUGAUCUGGACGCUGUCUCAACCGUGAGCUCAGUGAAAUUGUAGUAUCGGUGAAGAUGCCGAUUACCCGCGAUGGGACGAAAAGACCCCGUGAACCUUUACUAUAGCUUAUCAUUGAAUCUGGGCACGUGAUGUGUAGGAUAGGUCGGAGGCUUUGAAGCAGGUACGCCAGUAUUUGUGGAGCCGCUGUUGAAAUACGACCCUUUAUUUGUUUGGAUUCUAACCCGUGGAACGGGGACAUUGAUUGGUGGGUAGUUUGACUGGGGUGGUCGCCUCCAAAAGCGUAACGGAGGCUUCUAAAGGUGCCCUCCGGCCGAUUGGUAACCGGCCUUAGAGUGUAAUGGCAUAAGGGCGCUUGACUGGGAGACUAACAAGUCGAUCAGGUAGGAAACUAGAGCAUAGUGAUCCGGUGUUUCCGUAUGGAAGGGACAUCGCUCAAAGGAUAAAAGGUACUCCGGGGAUAACAGGCUGAUCCCUCCCAAGAGCUCAUAUCGACGGAGUGGUUUGGCACCUCGAUGUCGGCUCGUCACAUCCUGGGGCUGGAGAAGGUCCCAAGGGUUGGGCUGUUCGCCCAUUAAAGUGGCACGCGAGCUGGGUUCAGAACGUCGUGAGACAGUUCGGUCUCUAUCUAUCGUGGGCGUAUGAAAUUUGCGUGGCUCUGACACUAGUACGAGAGGACCGUGUUGGACAGACCUCUGGUUUGCCGGUUGUGCCGCCAGGUGCAUUGCCGGGUAUCUAAGUCUGGAUCGGAUAAGUGCUGAAAGCAUCUAAGUACGAAGCCGGCCACAAGAUUAGAUUUCUCAGGGUCGUUGUAGACUACGACGUUGAUAGGAUGCAGGUGUAAAGGUAGAGAUACCAAAGCCGAGCAUUACUAAUUGCCCGUUCACUUUCCUUA
rnacentral:rRNA from 2 species